rnacentral:rRNA from 1 species
GGGUUGUGAGGUUAAGCGACUAAGCGUACACGGUGGAUGCCCUGGCAGUCAGAGGCGAUGAAGGACGUGCUAAUCUGCGAUAAGCGUCGGUGAGGUGAUAUGAACCGUUAUAACCGGCGAUUUCCGAAUGGGGAAACCCAGUGUGUUUCGACACACUAUCAUUAACUGAAUCCAUAGGUUAAUGAGGCGAACCGGGGGAACUGAAACAUCUAAGUACCCCGAGGAAAAGAAAUCAACCGAGAUUCCCCCAGUAGCGGCGAGCGAACGGGGAGGAGCCCAGAGCCUGAAUCAGUGUGUGUGUUAGUGGAAGCGUCUGGAAAGGCGUGCGAUACAGGGUGACAGCCCCGUACACAAAAAUGCACAUAUUGUGAGCUCGAUGAGUAGGGCGGGACACGUGGUAUCCUGUCUGAAUAUGGGGGGACCAUCCUCCAAGGCUAAAUACUCCUGACUGACCGAUAGUGAACCAGUACCGUGAGGGAAAGGCGAAAAGAACCCCGGCGAGGGGAGUGAAAAAGAACCUGAAACCGUGUACGUACAAGCAGUGGGAGCCUCUUAAUGGGGUGACUGCGUACCUUUUGUAUAAUGGGUCAGCGACUUAUAUUCUGUAGCAAGGUUAACCGAAUAGGGGAGCCGAAGGGAAACCGAGUCUUAACUGGGCGUUAAGUUGCAGGGUAUAGACCCGAAACCCGGUGAUCUAGCCAUGGGCAGGUUGAAGGUUGGGUAACACUAACUGGAGGACCGAACCGACUAAUGUUGAAAAAUUAGCGGAUGACUUGUGGCUGGGGGUGAAAGGCCAAUCAAACCGGGAGAUAGCUGGUUCUCCCCGAAAGCUAUUUAGGUAGCGCCUCGUGAAUUCAUCUCCGGGGGUAGAGCACUGUUUCGGCAAGGGGGUCAUCCCGACUUACCAACCCGAUGCAAACUGCGAAUACCGGAGAAUGUUAUCACGGGAGACACACGGCGGGUGCUAACGUCCGUCGUGAAGAGGGAAACAACCCAGACCGCCAGCUAAGGUCCCAAAGUCAUGGUUAAGUGGGAAACGAUGUGGGAAGGCCCAGACAGCCAGGAUGUUGGCUUAGAAGCAGCCAUCAUUUAAAGAAAGCGUAAUAGCUCACUGGUCGAGUCGGCCUGCGCGGAAGAUGUAACGGGGCUAAACCAUGCACCGAAGCUGCGGCAGCGACACUAUGUGUUGUUGGGUAGGGGAGCGUUCUGUAAGCCUGUGAAGGUGGCCUGUGAGGGUUGCUGGAGGUAUCAGAAGUGCGAAUGCUGACAUAAGUAACGAUAAAGCGGGUGAAAAGCCCGCUCGCCGGAAGACCAAGGGUUCCUGUCCAACGUUAAUCGGGGCAGGGUGAGUCGACCCCUAAGGCGAGGCCGAAAGGCGUAGUCGAUGGGAAACAGGUUAAUAUUCCUGUACUUGGUGUUACUGCGAAGGGGGGACGGAGAAGGCUAUGUUGGCCGGGCGACGGUUGUCCCGGUUUAAGCGUGUAGGCUGGUUUUCCAGGCAAAUCCGGAAAACCAAGGCUGAGGCG